CAGCUUUCAACCACAAGGUUUUCACACAGGGCUGAGCCUCAACAACCUGACUGCCCUGUGACUCAUUCUCCCCUUCAUUUGGCCUCCUAAAGCAGGAACUUUGGCUAUUCUCUCCCCUUACUGCAGGGCAUGGCUAAUCCACUGGUGGAUCUUCAGCAAUGGAUUCACCAGGCAUUGCUCCCAUCAAGUGUGUUUGUACAGUUUCCAGCAAAUCCACCUGGAAAAUCCUAGAAACAUCCUCGGCUCUAUAGGCAGAAAAUCUUCAGCCUACUCCCACUAUACUCUGGGCCCUGCUGAGACAUUAAGACAUUAAGAGCAGAACUCUGCUGCUGCUCCCUUCUUAAACACAAGAAACAAGGGUCAAGACACAGGACGAAGUAUUUGGUUCUGGUUGAUAAAAAUGAACUGCAUGGGUAGAGAGUUCAGGAGAGCAAAGGAGAUGGAUUGCAGAUUAUGAACCUAGCAAACAACACUUUUCCUCUUUGUUCAUGAAAAUUCAAGAGGUUGCAAAGCAAUGUUACAUUGGACAA